rnacentral:misc_RNA from 1 species
AAGUGAUGAUAAUCAUAAUAUGCAUCAGCAACCACGAAGAUAACUGCAAACAGCACAAGACAUUAUCAUAGUACGUCUCAAACUUCUGCUAUAAGAGCUGCUUUACUUUCUUGCUGUUGACAGUACAGCUCUAAACUCUUGCUACAUGAAGUGCUCUCUUACCCUGCUGGUAGUAUCCCCAGUGUAUAUCAGCAUAAUCUUUCACCUUCUUGAAUAUUCUUGGUCUUUCUUCAUUGACCAAUCCUUCUUCUGGUCCAAUCUCCUUUUUUUUAGGUUCAGGCGUGUAGAAAACAGCCACAGAAAUCCUCUCCUUUUCUGUGUUAGUUAGAACUCUGUGCACUGCGCUCUUGAAUAUUCCAUUGGUCAUUAUCUCCAUUUGAUCAGCCAUUAAGAUUAGGAGGGCAUCCGAAAUGGGGGGCACUGUGAUCCAGUUCUUGUCUUUUUGGACUUGCAGACCUUCAACAUCAUUCUGCAAGAUAAUAGUGUACCCUGAUCCGUCUGCAUGGGCUUUUAAGCCAAGAACAAGAUCAGGUCUUGGACAACGUGAGUAAUUGUUAAACCUUGCUUGUAGAACUGCUUGUUCACCGAACUGAUCCAGGAAGCAAUUUUCCUCCAAAUUCAAUGACUUUGCCAUGGCUUUUGAGACAAGUUCUGUUAACAUUCUCAUCUUUAAAGUGUAUUCUUCUAAGACUUCUCUGAAAGAUGUUGGAUUUUCUGGCCAGAACUUGGGCUUCCUUCUAUCUUCUGGGUAUACGUCAAGAAAUAGACGAUCAGACCAGUCAAGUGACUGACCUUCUGCAGGGACAGGGUCUGCUCCGUACCCUUCAAACUCAUAAACUCCUUUAGCAUGCUUUUUCUUCUCUUCCAUAGGCUGUUCAAAGAAUUCCUUAGCCACUUGUCGAAUCUUAUCCAGAAACGAUUUUGGAAUCCCAUGACCUAUUGCCUGGAAGCAACCCC